rnacentral:rRNA from 1 species
UACAGAGGUCUCAAGCGUUGUUCGGAUUCAUUGGGCGUAAAGGGUGCGUAGGCGGCGCGGUAAGUCGGGUGUGAAAUCUCGGAGCUUAACUCCGAAACUGCAUUCGAUACUGCCGUGCUUGAGGACUGGAGAGGAGACUGGAAUUUACGGUGUAGCGGUGAAAUGCGUAGAUAUCGUAAGGAAGACCAGUGGCGAAGGCGGGGUCUCUGGACAGUUCCUGACGCUGAGGCACGAAGGCCAGGGGAGCAAACAGG